AAGUCGUAACAAGGUUUCCGUAGGUGAACCUGCGGAAGGAUCAUUAACACGUGAUACUCACGUAUUAAAACCCACCGAGAACUGUUAAUUCUGUCCUAUUGUUGAUUGUGAGUAGACGAAGUGAGGGAAUGCUAUGGGCUAAAAACCCUAACUCAUUAGUUGUUCUAUGGUCCGCCCUGGAGCUUGCACCAACAAAUAGUUGAUAAAUUACGACUGCUUAUUAAGCUUGUAGCAUAGCUUGCAGCUCGUAGUGAAAUAAUUCAAACCCCUUUUUUUUAAUUAUUUAAUGAUUUGUAUGUUUAUAUGAAUUCCUGACCUUCACGGGUUGGUUGUAGUUUAUAUAGAUGUCGUAUAUUACUAAUACGAAACAACUCUUAGCAACGGAUAUCUUGGUUCUC
rnacentral:misc_RNA from 1 species